CCCGGCUUGUGAAUACAAGGGGCAUGCAUGUCUCUGCACAAUCGAGGGGUUGAAAAGGCUACGCUUCAAAGUGCCGGCAAGACCGGUGGCCAGAUGGGUAAACAUGUAAAGGAGAAGUUUUCAAUUAGAAACUGAUAAAGUGUUCCUGGAUCAAGGACGGCGGCGCUGGCCUAAUGAGCAGAUUAACUGCCAAAGGACAAGACUUCAAGUUGAGCUGGAUUGAUGCUCGCACCUUGAAAAAUCCAAUUGAAGGAAAAGCCGAGCUCAAUGAAGUAAAGAAUAGGCAAAUUAAUUUUCUGGCGUAGAGGACACUGGGAGCCAGCACACAAUGCUAGGGUGGUAUCAAACAGCUCAGCGGAUGACCCCGGAAGGAUGAUUCACACGCCUGCUUCCCUCACAGAAGCCGGAUUAGUCCUGAAUAAACGUUCUGCAGCAAACUGUUUGCCGGAGAAAGGCGGCCUUCAGCGGACCUUUCUUUGUUGCCUUUGUAACAAGUCUGUUUAUUCAUUCAGUCAGUUUGACUGCUUUGGAAAGAAAACGAAUAUCUAUAAUUUUUCUGGGCGGAUGUACUUCUCAUCCAGGAGUUUUAAUAUGAACGUAAAAGAGUCAAAUAUGACUUACAAGUCUUUAAGCAAAACAUCGAAUGAAGCUUACAUUGAUUAGUGUGAAAUGAAUUUACCUGUACCAAGUCAGUAAGUGUAUGGUGACACAGGUUCAACUUUCUCCUCCCCACCAACCUUUAAUCUCCAUGUAGUUCCAUUCCAGCCUUAGGUCGCCAGAGACUGGA